rnacentral:rRNA from 1 species
CCUACGGGAGGCAGCAGUAGGGAAUCUUCCCCAGUGGACGAAAGUCUGACGGAGCAACGCCGGGUGAGUGAUGAAGGCUUUCGGGUCGUAAAACUCUGUUGUUGGGUGAAAGAAACAAGUUGGAGAUGUAACUGCUCGUACCUUGACGGUACCUAACCAAAAACCCGCGGCUAACUACGGGCCACCAGCCGCGGUAAUCCUUAGGUGGCAAGCGUUAUCCGGAAUUAUUGGGCGUAAAGCGCGCGCAGGCGGUUUCUUAAGUCUGAUGUGAAAGCCCACGGCUCAACCGUGGAGGGUCAUUGGAAACUGGGGAACUUGAGUGCAGAAGAGAAAAGCGGAAUUCCACGUGUAGCGUUGAAAUGCGUAGAGAUGUGGAGGAACACCAGUGGCGAAGGCGGCUUUUUUGGCUCUGUAACUGACGCUGAGGGCGCGAAAGCGUGGGGAGCAAACAGGAUUAGAUACCCUGGUAGUCCACGCCGCUAAACGAUGAGUGCUAAGUGGUUAGAGGGUUUCCGCCCUUUAGUGCUGCAGCUAACGCAUUAAGCACUCCGCCUGGGGAGUACGGCUCGCAAGGACUGAAACUCAAAGGAAUUGACGGGGGCCCGCACAAGGCGGGUGGAGUCAUGUGGUUUAAUUCGAAGCAACGCGAAGAACCUUAC